UACGAAGGGGGCGAGCGUUGUUCGGAAUUACUGAGCGUAAAGGGCGCGUAGGCGGCCGAUCAAGUCAGAUGUGAAAGUCCUGGGCUUAACCUGGGGACUGCAUUUGAUACUGAUUGGCUUGAAUUCGGGAGAGGAUAGCGGAAUUCCCAGUGUAGAGGUGAAAUUCGUAGAUAUUGGGAAGAACACCGGUGGCGAAGGCGGCUAUCUGGACCGACAUUGACGCUGAGGCGCGAAAGCGUGGGGAGCAAACAGG
rnacentral:rRNA from 1 species